rnacentral:ncRNA from 1 species
UUACGGACUUGAUUGAAUUGAGGCUUGGUGUGGAAACCUACUAAUUGGUAGCUUCCAAAUUUAGAGAAAUCUUGGAAGGAGAAAUGAGCAAGCUGAGCCAAAUGUUUAUAGAAAACAAAGAUUCCUAAAAAGCUAGAAUCAAUGCAAUGGUGGGUGCAAAGACUCAACGAAGUUGUUUCAGCAAAUGGAGUUAACCUCGUUUGCAGAGGAAUCAAUCCAUAAUAUCGAAGUAUAGGACUCCAAUAGGUUGAACAUAUAUUGCUAUGUAUUGAGUUGAAAUAUUUACGAUUAAUUAUGAGGAUCCUUUUAUUACACAUUUCAAAGUUCUUGUGAAUUGAUAUCCAGUUACAUAUUCAUUGAUCAAAUCAUUCGCUCCAAAGUGUGAUAGAUUAUUUGAAGAAAUGACUAAUUGGACGAGAAUAGAAUAAAGAUAGAGUCCCAUUCUACAUGUCAAUCCCAA